GUAAUUUCUUUUUCGAAAGAAAGACAUAACUUUUUUGUUAUAAAAGAUAAACACAAAUUAUUUUUUGUUAAAUAAUCGGUAAUUUCUGUAUUUUAUAAGUAUCCUAAAAAAAUAUGCAUUUUUUAUUCAGAAAUAACUCAUAUUUAUCAAAUGUUUAUGAAUUGAGGAAAAAACGUCAUUUUUUACUGCAUGUUUAUCAAAAUUUUAAAAAAUCCUCUAUUUACAGUUUUAUAAAAUUUGGAUCACAUAAUCUCCCUGCAAAAUGAAACAAAUUGCUGUUUUGAAAAAUAGGGGUCCAUGAACUCGUUUUCAAAUUAAAUCAGCUUGAACGCUUAAAAUCAGUCGAAAAGUACAUCUUUUCCCGAUAUGUCACAGUUUGACGUCGCGAAAAUAACAUUUUACGUUAGCAACGUCAUUACCUCCCCU
rnacentral:lncRNA from 1 species